rnacentral:snRNA from 1 species
AUGCUUGUUUCAGCAGUACAUAUACUAAAAUUGUAAUGACACAGAGACAAUUAGCAUGGCCCCUGUGCAAGGAUGACACAAAAAAGAAAAAAAUAAAACACUUUGCU